ACUGCUUCUCAGCCAUUUGGCGAAGAUCAAGUGUAGUCACCUGUUUGCAUCAGUUUAAUUUUAAUAUCUGAUACAUCCUCUAUGUGAGGACAAUUAAGUGGAUCUCUGGAGCAGUGAGAUGGAAGAUGAGCAUCCUCUGACCACGCCGUGCAAUGACCCGGUACCACAAUACUUCGGAGAAUGGUGCAUGCACA